rnacentral:rRNA from 1 species
UACAGAGGUCUCAAGCGUUGUUCGGAUUCAUUGGGCGUAAAGGGUGCGUAGGCGGCGCGGUAAGUCGGGUGUGAAAUUUCGAGGCUUAACUUCGAAACUGCAUUCGAUACUGCCGUGCUAGAGGACUGGAGAGGAGACUGGAAUUUACGGUGUAGCGGUGAAAUGCGUAGAUAUCGCUUGGAACGCCAACGGUGAAAACAGGUUGCUGGGGUUGUGCCGACGCUGAGACACGAAAGCCAGGGGAGCAAACGGG